rnacentral:lncRNA from 1 species
UGGGUUUAUUGAUUAAUUUUGGGACAUGAGAAUUGGUUGACGGAACCAUCUCAUUUAACAACAACUUUGUAGUAAUAUUUGCUUUUGCCUCCUUUUUUGUACAGAAAAAUCUGCUUUUCGUUGAAAAUUUAACUUACAGCCCCACCUGCCAUAUAUGCAUUUUGUAUAGAGGAUGAUUUUACUAGUACUCUCUUGCGACCCGUUGGCAUAUUAAAAAUGCUUACCUACAUGGCUCCAACGUCUCUUGUUGCAGAGUAUUAUUCUGACUAGGAGUGAGGACACGUUCUAUGCUCGGAGAUAUGCAAUUGGAGUCGGAUGGACUCGCUAUCGUCUACGUCUUUCACAGUAGUUUAUCUCAUGAGUUGACCUUCAACCAAAUUUAUGAUAAUAA